UACGGAGGAUGCGAGCGUUCUCCGGAUUUAUUGGGUUUAAAGGGUGCGUAGGCGGGCUGUUAAGUCAGCGGUAAAAGCCCGGGGCUCAACCCCGGCGAGCCGUUGAAACUGGCUGUCUUGAGAUGUCGAGAGGUAUGCGGAAUGCGCAGUGUAGCGGUGAAAUGCUUAGAUAUACGGAGGAACACCAGUGGCGAAGGCGGCCUGCUGGACAUUAACUGACGCUGAGGCGCGAAAGCGUGGGGAGCAAACAGG
rnacentral:rRNA from 1 species